GACAGAGGGUGCAAACGUUGUUCGGAAUUACUGGGCGUAAAGCGUGUGUAGGCGGUCUGCUAAGUCGGGUGUGAAAGCCCUGGGCUCAACCCAGGAAGUGCACUCGAAACUGGCAGGCUAGAGUACUGGAGAGGUUGGUGGAAUUCUCGGUGUAGAGGUGAAAUUCGUAGAUAUCGAGAGGAACACCGGUGGCGAAGGCGGCCAACUGGACAGAUACUGACGCUGAGGCGCGAAAGCUAGGGGAGCAAACAGG
rnacentral:rRNA from 1 species